UCGGCCGAGUGACAGUGUCGUGAAUUUACGGGAGUCUAUACGGAAACGCGCGUUCGGUUGACUAGUGCAUAUAGAGACUGUGUUAAAGCCACACGCAAGGUGAGAGAAGUGGUGCAGUUGCGUGUGAGGAGUGGUGAGGCCCACUAAUACACCAGGCCCUCCAAGGUAUUUUAUUAUUCCUGUUUCUUCGUCGUCGUCAUCGUUCGUCGCGUGUCGCAAUCCUUACCGUCGUCGUAGGUACGGCCGUGCUGUGCUAUCUUUCGUGUGUGGGUAUGAGCAGAGGCCUGCCGCUGCAGCAAUCCCGCGACUGGCGUUUUGUUGCAGCACCAGCAAAAAUGGAGUUGUGGUGCAUUCCGCCGUCGAGCCGCCGUGCUUAGCCUAAAUAUGUCCGACGGGAUCGCAAAGCCUCUGCCUUCACCGUUGUGGGUUGCGAGGAGUUAAAGAGAAUGAAAAUAAUUCAAUAAUUGAUUAAAUCAUAAAUGAAUUCCGGGUUCGAUCGGAAAUUCAGUUUCGGAGCAAACGCGCGCGAGUGUUUGGCCGAAGGCCACAGUUGCCGCCCCCAUCGUUGAUACGGUCAUUUGGGGAAUUAGAAUAAAUCGAAUUGGAAGAGAAGUGUGAAUUUGUGCAACAUUGGCAGGUCGGUUGGCCGGCUUCGUCGGAAGCGAAGAGAUCUACAUUAUUUCGGAAUCCAAGUCGGAAGAAGUGAACUGAGCAGCUAUCCACUUCUAUGAGAUUUAAUCGAUGUGAAAAGUGAAUAGAAAGAGCCUAUGAAAUUCAUGAGUGUACCGUUCAAUUAAAUUCCACCAUACACACGAAUGCACAAACAUGUGUAGAAAAAGCAUGUGUUUGAAAUUAUUCUGCAAAAGAAAUUAAAUAAAUAUCGAAGUGUAUACUCAGUCGGUGCUGAUCAGGAAAAAGGAAGAGCAUGGAAAAUAAAUGUGAUUAAAUUGAUUGAAAUUUCGAUUGGAAUUAAUUCAAGCGAGCCACUUCGGGAAUCGUGUUUGGGUCGGUGCUUGUUUUCUUUUGGUCGAGGGGUGGUUCUGUGUAUUUGAAUCGAAUAACAGCAGCAACAGCCAUUCAUACAGCUUCGAUUGUGUUUAGUGUGAGCGGCCGUUAAGACCUUCACCGCUCGACGUGUUUGGGGUUUGUUGUGAGUGUGAAAUCAUCGUAAAGAGGUAAAGUGAACUUGUUGAGGCAUGCUUUGCACAAACCGUGUGAAGAGCAGUGAAAAUCAUUAAUCUACCACUACUACCAGAAGAAUUAAAGUUCAAAGAAAGGAGCAACGUUUCACUAGUAUUGUGCAGAGAAUACCAAGUUUAAUCAAAGAAGAGCAGCUAGAAGGGAUAACCUGCUGCACCGACAUCAAUCAGCUGUCACGAGCAAAACAACCCGGAUUCAUCAAGUAGGAUUAGCUGGCACGCACACAUAGACGCUCCAACAACCACAGCAAAUUUCUCGUGUGCGUGUUCGACUACCUCAAUAUCCUGUGCUGUAUUUUGAAGGUAAAUAACUUACCGAGCCCAGAAGAAUCGCUUUUUCCCCACCACUGACUGGAUCCAGGAGGAGAAGUAAUUGGCACACGCCGAGAAAGGAGAAAGUUUUCCGA